GAUGAACGCUGGCGGCGUGCCUAAUACAUGCAAGUCGAACGAAACUUCUUUAUCACCGAGUGCUUGCACUCACCGAUAAAGAGUUGAGUGGCGAACGGGUGAGUAACACGUGGGCAGCCUGCCCAAAAGAGGGGGAUAACACUUGGAAACAGGUGCUAAUACCGCAUAACCAUAGUUACCGCAUGGUAACUAUGUAAAAGGUGGCUAUACUACCGCUUUUGGAUGGGCCCGCGGCGCAUUAGCUAGUUGGUAGGGUAAAGGCUUACCAAGGCAAUGAUGCGUAGCCGAAUUGAGAGGUUGAUCGGCCACAUUGGGACUGAGACACGGCCCAAACUCCUACGGGAGGCAGCAGUAGGGAAUCUUCCACAAAGGGCGAAAGCCUGAUGGAGCAACGCCGCGUGGGUGAAGAAGGUCUUCGGAUCGUAAAACCCUGUUGUUAGAGAAGAAAGUGCGUGAGAGUAACUGUUCACGUUUCGACGGUAUCUAACCAGAAAGCCACGGCUAACUACGUG
rnacentral:rRNA from 1 species